rnacentral:hammerhead_ribozyme from 1 species
AUUCAGCUGAUAAGUUCCAAAUAGAACAAAGCGUACGUCCUGAAU